rnacentral:rRNA from 1 species
UACGAAGGGGGCUAGCGUUGCUCGGAAUUACUGGGCGUAAAGGGUGCGUAGGCGGAUCUUUAAGUCAGGGGUGAAAUCCUGGAGCUCAACUCCAGAACUGCCUUUGAUACUGAGGACCUUGAGUUCGGGAGAGGUGAGUGGAACUGCGAGUGUAGAGGUGAAAUUCGUAGAUAUUCGCAAGAACACCAGUGGCGAAGGCGGCUCACUGGCCCGAUACUGACGCUGAGGCACGAAAGCGUGGGGAGCAAACAGG